rnacentral:rRNA from 1 species
AUUGAACGCUGGCGGCAUGCCUUACACAUGCAAGUCGAACGGUAACAGGUCUUCGGAUGCUGACGAGUGGCGAACGGGUGAGUAAUACAUCGGAACGUGCCUAGUAGUGGGGGAUAACUACUCGAAAGAGUGGCUAAUACCGCAUGAGAUCUACGGAUGAAAGCAGGGGAUCGCAAGACCUUGUGCUACUAGAGCGGCCGAUGGCAGAUUAGGUAGUUGGUGGGAUAAAAGCUUACCAAGCCGACAAUCUGUAGCUGGUCUGAGAGGACGAUCAGCCACCCUGGGGCUGAGACACGGCCCAGACUCCUACGGGAGGCAGCAGUGGGGAAUUUUGGACAAUGGGCGCAAGCCUGAUCCAGCAAUGCCGCGUGCAGGAUGAAGGCCUUCGGGUUGUAAACUGCUUUUGUACGGAACGAAAAGCCCUGGGUUAAUACCCUGGGGUCAUGACGGUACCGUAAGAAUAAGCACCGGCUAACUACGUGCCAGCCGCCGCGGUAAAAC